rnacentral:lncRNA from 1 species
AAAGCUGGAAAACCCCUAAGUAAAUGCAAUAUCGAUAGAAAGCGAGUUUCUUGAAGAGUCAUCUGCUAAACUCCACUACAGUCAUCUCUACAGGUGUGGUUAAGAGAAAAAAAAAUUGCCAUUAAGGAAUCAGCAAAUAGGAUGUCUGAAGUGAGGAUAUAGCACCUAUCUCUGAGAUUAAAGUCAUCUGAUCAAAAAUGAUGCCUCUGAGACUAUAACAAAGGAAUGAAUAAUGAAAUAUAAGAAUGGGGAUUCUGCACUAACUCUAUGGGGAAGAAAACAAUGGUAAGAGCAAAAGGAUCAACAUCAGCAACUCCUGUUUCCAUCGAUUUCUUUAUAAGAUGCCGUCUACAUGAUUCCAAAAUAUCCCAGCCUUUUUCUCCCCUGUCAAGCUUCCCUGUCUCUAAAAGAGAUCUUGCUCUUCCUGCACAGAAAGAAAUAAUAAUAUAUCACUGAGAUAUUAUUAUUACAUUUAAAGUUACUUACACUCUUUCUCAUUCCUAUAAUUUCCUAGUUGGAAGCCCUCGCACUUGGGAAAUUAUUUAAUGUGAUUUUUUCUUCCUGACAUAUAAAUUGUCACAUCACCUUAAAUGUUGGGACUUCAGGUUGGGAAGUGGGUGGAUAAUAUUCUUGAGGAAGCUGCCUUCCUUUUAUAGAUAAUGUUACCUCCUUGUAAAAGUUGCUUUCUAUGUAAAAGGUUGCUUUCUAUGUAUUAUUCUACUUUUUUUCUAAGAAUAUACCAUAUAAUGAAAACUUUACAGGCUUGACAUCCUAUUACUAAGAUUAUAAUUGUUGAGGUCUUCAACAGAAUUUCAAGUCAAAUAUGUUGUGUUAUAUGCCUAUUUAUAUUUCACUCUUUGAUUCACCUAGUUAGGAUCUCAGAAUUGAACUUUAAUUGCAG